rnacentral:rRNA from 1 species
GAUGAACACUGGCGGCGUGCCUAAUACAUGCAAGUCGAGCGAACAGACGAGGAGCUUGCUCCUCUGACGUUAGCGGCGGACGGGUGAGUAACACGUGGAUAACCUACCUAUAAGACUGGGAUAACUUCGGGAAACCGGAGCUAAUACCGGAUAAUAUAUUGAACCGCACGGUUCAAUAGUGAAAGACGGUUCUGCUGUCACUUAUAGAUGGAUCCGCGCUGCAUUAGCUAUUUGGUAAGGUGACGGCUUACCAAGGCAACGAUGCGUAGCCGACCGGAGAGGGUGAUCGGCAACAAUGGAACUGAGACACGGUCCAGACUCCUACGGGAGGCAGCAGUAGGGAAUCUUCCGCAAUGGGCGAAAGCCUGACGGAGCAACGCCGCGUGAGUGAUGAAGGGCUUCGGAUCGUAAAACUCUGUUAUUAGGGAAGAACAAAUGUGUAAGUAACUAUGCACGUCUUGACGGUACCUAAUCAGAAAGCCACGGCUAACUACGUGCCAGCAGCCGCCGUAA